UCUUCCUAGCUCAGAAAACAGUCAGUCACUAGGCAGGAGUCUGAUGAUUCCAGGUUUGUAGAGGAUAGUGAGGAAUCACAGAAUAUGAGGAGGAAAUAAUACAUAGGGAAAUAAGAAAUCUCCAUAGAAAACUGAGAAGAUGAAAAGGAAAAGAAAAAGAUUUACUCCUAACUCCCUUGGACCCACCGGCUUAUAAUGAUGAAGGGUGGUGGUCUCAGUUAAGUAGGGGCUCUAACAUUGAACAAAACAAAGGAGUUUGCUUCUGUCCUACACACAUGGUGGUGCCAGUAAUGGAGGCGUCAAACCCCAAGAACCUGGGGCAAGUAAUCCACCAACAUUUUGCAUUGAAAUUUAAAGACAUGAAGAAUUAAAGGAAGUUAUUGCUACAUAUGGGGCCCAAGCACCUUCACAUUGGCCGUGAUGGAGUCUUUCUCCGCUUUGAAUUUAACAGCAAACAAUUGGCAGCAAUUAUGCCCUGCCAUUUUAUCUGGGGGAGACUAUAUUAUGGCGAGGGGAAUAUUAAGAAAAUUGUAUGCAGAUGGCCCAAUUAAAUGCUCAAGCAUGUCAAGCUCAAUGUAAUAUAGAUAUGUUAACUGGGGCUGGGGUUUAUGCUGAUUUGCAGCAACAAAUUCUGUAUGAUCCAGCAGUAUUCACCCAAAUAGGUGCAGCUGCCACUUAAAGCUUGGAAGGCCCUACCUAACAAGGCAGCUGGGGAUCAAUUGUCAAAAGUUUUACAAGGACCAUCUGAAUCAUUCCAAGAUUAUGUAGAUAGACUGUUACAAUUAGCAGGUAGAUUGUUUGGAGAUGUGACAAUAGCUGUGCCUAAAGUAAAGCAACUUGCACUUGAAAAAUGCCAACGAAUAUUGUAAGGAAGCCUUAUCCCUCACAAAACAAAGAGUUUAAAUGAAUAUAUCAGGAUAUGUAGAGAUAUAAAAUGGGAAUUUCAUCCAAGGUCAGAUUAUAGUGGCAGCUAUACAACCCCAGGGUCAGGUCAUGGGAGCCGGAGGUAGUAAUUGUUUCAGUUGCAGAGCUCCAGAUUUCUGUAGGGAACAUCUGCAGCUUGUGGUGCAUUCACUGAUAUGCAACAAGCCCUAGCCAGUGCUGGAUUAAUUAAUGCUCCAGAAAAAGUUCAAGCCAUGCUCCUGUAUUCUUAUCUGGGAUGUAUUUUGUAAAAGGAGAAAUUAAACCACAGAAGUUGCAGUUUGAUUGUGCUCAUCUUAAGACUUUACAUGAUUGGCAAUGUUUUUUAGGCAAUGUGCAAUGGAUACGCCCUUCGCUAUCUGUUAAGUCUGGAGAUCUUAAACUGCUAUAUAAGAUGUUACUCAGGAAUACUGACUCCCUAUCCUCCCAAUGCUUACUCCUGAAGCCAAAGGAGCUCUAAAAUUGUUUAUGCAAAGUAUAGAACAGGUUCAUUUACAAAGGGUGAGAUUAUGAUAGCUUAUAAAUUGUUAGUUUUAAACCUCUCAUUUUGCACCAAGUGGUGUUUUUCGGCAAACUGGACCUCUUAUGUGGGUAUAAUAUGCCUGUUUUUCCUUGUAAUGUUGUUACACCAUAUUAUGAUUUGGUUAUGCAGUUGCUCUGGAAAGCUAGGAAGAUGAGUAUAGAAACAAAUUUCCAGACAAAAUUGUCCUUCCCUAUGAUAAAGAUCAAUUGUUACAUUUACAGCAAUAUAAUGAAUAUUGGUCUCUAUAUUUAUUAUCAACUGAUGCAAUGAUUGAUAGCCAUUAUCCCCAAACAUUCAUUGUUAAGUUUCUUUAAAAAUCAUCUUGUUAUUUUUCCACAGAUAGUAAAACCUAGGUUCCUGGUGGGAACUUUUUACAGAUGGUUCCCCAAAGGAAAUGCUGUGGGUAGUUUCUCAAGGUCUAUUAUGCCAAACACCUGUUGGCAAUGUCUCUGUUCAAGCAGCUGAAAUAACAGCCUGUAUUGUAGUAUUAUGUUUCCUGAUGAGUCAAUUAAUUUAAAUACUGAUAGUAUUUACCUUGUCUCAAAUUAUUGCUCCCUUAGAGACCGCUCCUUAUAUUUCUCCUGUGUCCCAUAUUACAACAACAAUUAUGCUAUCUGUAACAUUUAUUAUGUAUGGUCCAGGCGGGAUCCUAUUUUGUGAGUCAUAUUAGAGGUCAUACUUAAUGCCUGGACCCCUGGCUAAGGAUAAUCAGCUCGCAGAUGCAUAUACCCCGAAUACUAUUUGCCAGCCCCAAAGAAAAGGUUUCUAAACUCCAUAAAAAGUAUCACUUCAAUGCUUGUUCCCUGCAGCACCAUACUGGUUGCUCUAAAGCAACUGCCUUACAAAUUACCACCCAAUGUUUUGCCUGUGCUCCUUUUUCAUAAUGCGCCUAUUGCUGGAGUUAAUCCUUGUGGACUUAAACCGCAUGGACGUUUACCCACCUACCCUCAGCUAGAAAGCUGGAAUACAUGCAUGUUUAGGUAGAUACUUGCUCUAAAUAGUUUUUGCUUCUCUGCAUAGUGGUAAGAAAAUUAAGUGUGUGAUAGCUCAUUCCCUGCUGGCUUUUGCUUAUAUGGGCUUACCUAAUGUUAUUAAAACAGAUAAUGAUCCUGCAUAUACUAGUGGAAAAUUUCAAACCUUUUUGUGUAAAUAAUAAUAUUAAACACAUUAUAGGUAUUCCAUAUAACCCCACUGGACAAGCUUUAGUAGAAAGAAUGCAUAUGGUUAUAAAACAGUAUUUCAUGAAAAUAAAUGGGGGGAGGAUAUUCUCUCUCCCAAUGCACAAUUGGCUUCUAUUUUAUUUAUUCUAAAUUUUUUAACUGUGGAUCAUGAGGGCCACUCAGCCAUGGAAAGACAUUGUAAUAAAAGUUCUCAGUCCUUCGGAUGGGUACGAUGGAAAGACCUUAUUACAGGACAGUGGAAGGAGCCCACAUCCAUGUGGCUAGGGUGAGAGGAGCUGUUUUGUAUUUUUCCUCCAGGAACAGACAAGCCCAUUUGGGUACCAGAGCGAUAUGUUCAGGCUGUGGAGAAUGAUGGGAAAGGAUCCUGUAAUGAGCCUGAGAAUGACAUCUGUCAUUCUCUUGAUGAGCCUCCUGAAACUGUGGUCUGAGCAACUGCUAGGAUGAGCACUCUAGUGCUGCCUUGUUGGUUCUGGUAUCAGCCAUCAUACCAAAAAGACGAUGCAGACUGGGAUGACCCUGUAUCAAGAGAAAUGAGAUUUUGGAGCGACAGCUGUGGUGGUUGCUGUCAUCGUGGUGUCUGCUGCUGCAGCCAUGAUCGCAGGACUGGCAAUGGCACAAACAUCGUUGGUGUCGGACUCCAGGGAUAAACUGGUGAGACAAGUCAAGGCUGCUGUCCAUACUCAGAAUGCCCUGAAUGUCCACAUUAAAUUUGGACUUUUGAAUUUAAAACAACAAACUGCCCUAUUGUAGGAGCAGGCAGACUUCUUAUGGCUUGUACAACAAAUAUCUUGUUCACAUUCUUGUCAUUCCAUUUGUGUGACAUCUGUGAAUAUUGUUAAUGCCUCUUAUGUGGUGAAACAGCUCAAUGGUUACUUGAAUAGCCCUUGGAAUGUUACGAUUAGCACACCAGAUUAUUGAUACCUGUGUGUCCACUGCUUUAGCCAAAGGGUUUGUAGAAUACCAUAGCUCAACUGGGAAGCUGGGUCCAGUGGUGAUUGGGGACCCUCUUAAGUAAUCUUAAGGCUUGUUGCCAUGGGCAUUUGUCUCUGGAUUCUGUGUAAAAUCAGACAAUCCAUGAGAACGCAGCAUAUGCUCUCUUAGCAAGUCCUGAGGCUGUUGGCCAGUAACUCGGAUGUACCCCAGGUUUGGUUGCAAAUACUUCACAAUGAAGACUCCUCCAUAGAUGGGCAACUUCUACAGAAGAGGGCCCGCCUAAAACAGGGAAGUGGCCUCCCAAAGAUGGGUAAGGGUUUCCUCUUCUGAGAUGACCUAAGAAAGGAGGGGCUUCUGUCUUAUAAAAAAUUAAGGUGGGAGAUGCUGGAAACAUUUGGAGUCCUGGCCGCCAGCUGAUCUCCCCUGCUGGUGACCUUUGCUUGGCCUUCUGAUUUGAGCUACUGAAAGCUGUGUCCAGCUCUGCUUCCUGAGCACGUGUUUUUUGGACGUGAUUGAGGAUCAGGGGAUGAGGUUUUCACCUGUUGGCCAACCUGACUGUGCUGGGUAUAAAAGCCUCCGUGGUGCUAUUUAAUAAAGAGCUUCUUUUACCAGUG